rnacentral:rRNA from 1 species
AUUGAACGCUGGCGGCAGGCCUAACACAUGCAAGUCGAACGGUAACAGGAAGAAGCUUGCUUCUUUGCUGACGAGUGGCGGACGGGUGAGUAAUGUCUGGGAAACUGCCUGAUGGAGGGGGAUAACUACUGGAAACGGUAGCUAAUACCGCAUAACGUCGCAAGACCAAAGAGGGGGACCUUCGGGCCUCUUGCAAUCGGAUGUGCCCAGAUGGGAUUAGCUAGUAGGUGGGGUAACGGCUAACCAAGGCGACGAUCCCUAGCUGGUCUGAGAGGAUGACCAGCCACACUGGAACUGGGACACGGUCCAGACUCCUACGGGAGGCAGCAGUGGGGAAUAUUGCACAAUGGGCGCAAGCCUGAUGCAGCCAUGCCGCGUGUAUGAAGAAGGCCUUCGGGUUGUAAAGUACUUUCAGCGGGGAGGAAGGGAGUAAAGUUAAUACCUUUGCUCAUUGACGUUACCCGCAGAAGAAGCACCGGCUAACUCCGUG